rnacentral:rRNA from 1 species
GGGUUGUGAGGUUAAGCGACUAAGCGUACACGGUGGAUGCCCUGGCAGUCAGAGGCGAUGAAGGGCGUGCUAAUCUGCGAUAAGCGCCGGUAAGGUGAUAUGAACCGUUAUAACCGGCGAUACCCGAAUGGGGAAACCCAGUGUGAUUCGUCACACUAUCAUUAACUGAAUCCAUAGGUUAAUGAGGCGAACCGGGGGAACUGAAACAUCUAAGUACCCCGAGGAAAAGAAAUCAACCGAGAUUCCCCCAGUAGCGGCGAGCGAACGGGGAGGAGCCCAGAGCCUGAAUCAGCAUGUGUGUUAGUGGAAGCGUCUGGAAAGGCGCGCGAUACAGGGUGACAGCCCCGUACACAAAAGCGCAUGUGCUGUGAGCUCGAUGAGUAGGGCGGGACACGUGGUAUCCUGUCUGAAUAUGGGGGGACCAUCCUCCAAGGCUAAAUACUCCUGACUGACCGAUAGUGAACCAGUACCGUGAGGGAAAGGCGAAAAGAACCCCGGCGAGGGGAGUGAAAAAGAACCUGAAACCGUGUACGUACAAGCAGUGGGAGCACAGGUUUACCUGUGUGACUGCGUACCUUUUGUAUAAUGGGUCAGCGACUUAUAUUCUGUAGCAAGGUUAACCGUAUAGGGGAGCCGGAGGGAAACCGAGUCUUAACCGGGCGUUAAGUUGCAGGGUAUAGA